GACGACGGCUGGCGGCGUGCUUAACACAUGCAAGUCGAACGGUGACGAGGAGCUUGCUCCUCCGAUCAGUGGCGAACGGGUGAGUAACACGUGAGCAACCUGCCCCUCACUCUGGGAUAACAGUUGGAAACAGCUGCUAAUACCGGAUACGACACAGACAGGCAUCUGUACUGUGUGGAAAGUUUUUCGGUGAGGGAUGGGCUCGCGGCCUAUCAGUUUGUUGGUGGGGUAAUGGCCUACCAAGACGACGACGGGUAGCCGGCCUGAGAGGGCGACCGGCCACACUGGGACUGAGACACGGCCCAGACUCCUACGGGAGGCAGCAGUGGGGAAUAUUGCACAAUGGGCGAAAGCCUGAUGCAGCGACGCCGCGUGAGGGAUGACGGCCUUCGGGUUGUAAACCUCUUUCAGCAGGGAAGAAGCGAAAGUGACGGUACCUGCAGAAGAAGCACCGGCUAACUACGUG
rnacentral:rRNA from 1 species